CAAUUUCACUAGGGGAGUCACCUGACUGAGACGGAGCCGCGAGCUUCGGACCCUUGGAACCUGAUCUGGAUCAUACCAGCGGAGGGAAGUGGAACCUGAGCUUU
rnacentral:ncRNA from 2 species